UGAGUCAUCGAAUCAGCUGCUGAAUAAACAUAUUAACGACGAUCUGUACUAGGCCGGCACUGGGAUAGUUAUUCGAAAUGAGACAGAUAUGCUACACACCUGUUCCACAAGCCGCAUCAAUACCAAGCUUACAAGUAAACAGUAAUGCCUGUACAAUAACAACGUUUUUUAGAGGUUGCUAUUGGGGGUCGGGUAAUAUUUUGUGAUGGCUGCACGACCUCCAUCGCUUAAUCAGUUAAUUCAUCGAUUCAAACACAAACACGGGCGUGUAAUCCGAUUUUUUUUAAACCACUCUAGAGCGACAGAAAUAACGGUAGUUUAUUCCGUGUCAGGACCGGGCAAGCGUUACGGCUUUGGCAUGCAGUAUUCGCUGUUUGCAGAAUCUGCACACGUCUUCAUUGCAGCGACUCAUAGUCGAGCAGAAGCCCAUCCGAUAUAAACAAAAAAAGAAACCAGGAGGAAAGGGCAAAGGUGUUGGUGUCAGAUACCAGCAGAAAAUGCCCGAUCGCUUGAAACGGUGCAUUUUGCGUAACAAACAGGAAGCCGGUGCGGGCGGAUACUCGAAAUGUUUCUUUAAAAAAAAACUGUGCUUUUUUUUACUUUGUAGAAAGCUUCGAACGGCUUUCUUGAGAAGUGUCCAACCGUCCAGUUUGCGACUUCUGUUUCCGAAUGUAAAAUACUCCCGUGCUAUCAUCAUCGUCAUCGUCACACUAGCCGAGAUCUCAGAAUCUAUAACUCUUUCAAGCUGCACCAAAUUGAGCACCUACACCAACUCGAGUGAACAUAGAUCAUCAUCGUCAUCGUCACACUAGCCGAAAUCUCAGAAUCUGUAUCUCUUUCAAGCUUUACCGAACUGAGCACCUGCACCGACUCGAGUCAACAUAGAUCAUCAUCGUCAUCACGAUUGUCGACAGCGCCGCCAUCAUCAUCAAUUGGAGUUGUUUGAAAGUACAAUCGAACCAUCAGCGCAUGAUGUCCCUCCACCUAUCGGUCUUUCAUUGCAGAUAAGGGAUCUAUGGUAGCUUAAACGGCUAAACUUUGAACUAAAAUUGUCGAAAGUCAAUGUUUUAAGCCUCGCCCUCCACAAUAUGUAUCUUCAAACAGAGAAUGCUUAUGAGAAAAACUAGAACAUACCUAAAUAUUCGGAACUAAAACUGUUUCAAUGUACUAGACGUUUCCCCACGAGUUAACCGGCUAACAUCAAACUAAAAACAAGCUUAUUACAAUAUAGAAAAAUUGAAGCGGGAUGCUUGCUUAUGCUUCCACCGGGCAUCUAGAACGAUCUUACUGUUUCCGGCGAUUACUUGUUCUCUACAAUAAAAAAAGAAAUGAGAGAGAAUUAUCCAAGAAACCUAAACCGCGUAUCAGCGAAUUUGCCCAGCGCUGCGCUACGAGGACAACGCAGUCGGACGAGGCGGCUACGGAUGACGCAGCGUCAUUAUCUGCCGUCACUAAGAACGCAAUGAUCAACUGCAUUGAAGGAACAAAGUCGAAACUGUGAUGGGGUUCAAAAGGUCUCUUUUAUUUAAUUACUGUUUAACGUGAUGAUAUUUUCAUUCUAUACAUAAAAACGGUGGAUUAACAUUCAUUGCUCCAAGUACACGAAUUAAACUGAAUAAGUUGAACACUAAAUA
rnacentral:lncRNA from 1 species